CGCACUCCCACUGGAAAACCACGAAGACAACACUCGCAGAAAUGGUAGUUUCUCUCAAACUACCGUCUCUCACCUCCCUCUUUUUCUCAUCUCCAUUGAUACGUCGUUUACCGGUGUUUUCAGUACUUCGCCGCUAUUUCCUUCCACCUCCUCUAACAGCAUCCUUCUCCACUCUCUGAGCCCUCAUAAGACCGAAGACUAAGUUGAUAACCGCAAGAUUCGAGUCAACCAGGACCCACUCAUUACUCCUGGAUCUCAAGAAUUGAAUGCUUGGCAUCUUGAUGUUAUUGCCAACGCCG
rnacentral:misc_RNA from 1 species